rnacentral:lncRNA from 1 species
GGGGUGAGCCCUGGGAGGGUGGAGGGGGGCGGGGCCCGGCGGGCCUGCAUGGUGGGGGUUGGCGUGCGUGCGUGGGGCAGAGAGGAGAGCGGAAGGGGUUGCUGAGGGACGCCGGCCGGCGCGGUGGGAGAGAGGUCAGGCUGCCAGUGGAGCUGCAGCUGGCAGCUUCCAGGGAGGAUGGUUUUGAGAAUGGCAUACCUAGCUGUACCGUUUUCAGCCAAAGCCCACCAGGUCCAUCUUGUGAAGUCACAAGCCUGAACAAACUGAAGGAAAAUGGCCUGACACCAACUUCAAGCACCUUCCCACCUCAGAGAGACAGAAGAGGUAUCAGGUGUACUGUUCUUCUCACUCAUCCCAUUCUGAAGUGAAUCUUGCUGCGUCAGCCUUGUUAUUGAGAAGUAAGAUAUAUCGCUUUUUUUAUAGUAUUAGAGAAGCAAUGAUCCUUCCUCCUUUAGCAGAUUGGAAAAUGGGUUCCAAUAGCCAUAUGCCCUGGCUAAACCCUGGGUUCUAACUUUUUUUCUGCAAACUCAUAAUUCUUUAGUUGGGAGGACACCAGCUUCUCCUACAGUUUGACAUUGAGAGUGAAAAAUAAGACUUAUCAUUGAGACCAUGCAAGAGGACAGAAUACUGGCAUUGACACAAAAGGACAUCACCACAUCUCUGGAUGAGCAAAGGCUAAGGGCCUAGUCUUGGAGCUGUAAACAAUGCCAGGACAUGUGACCUAGCUGCCACUUCAGCAUCUAUUCUGAUUGUUUGUCACUCUGUUACAAAACUUAGUAGGUAAAAACAACAACCAUUCAUUUAUCUCAGGAAUCUGCCAUGUGGGUAGAACUGGAUAGAGAUGAAGUCUCUGCUCUCUAAUGUCUAGUAUGUCAUUUAGGAGCACUUGAAUAGCUCAGAUUGGAUGGAGCUUGGCUGAGCAUCUCCUUUUCAGAGCAUUUCCCUGUAAACUUUUAAGGUGUUUUCUUCAACAAGAUGGCCUCAGAGUAGUUCAUGAGCAUAUGACCCAAAAGACCAAGGUUGAUGCUGCUGGCUUCUCAUGUUAUAGCCUUGGAAAUUCCAUAGAAUUAUUCCUGUGGUCUCCUAUGGAGAAGCAAAUCACUAAAGCCACCAGGAUUCAAGGAGAAGAGUGUCAAUGAUUUUAUAGCCACAUUUAAUCCAUGAUAGCACUCUAUUGUCAUUUAGUCUCUUUUUUUUUUCUUUUUAUGGCUGCACUUGCAGCAUAAGGAAAUUCGCAGGCUAGGGGUCAAAUCAGAGCUGCAGCUAGAGCCUACACCACAGCCAUGGCAACAGUAGAUCUGAGCCAUAUCUGCAACACACACCAAAGCUUGUGGCAAUACUGGAUCCUUAACACUGAGCAAGGCCAGG